AGAGAGAGAGAGAGAGAGAGAGAGAGAGAGAGAGAGAGAGAGGAAGGGAAGAGAAAAGCCAGCGGAGGGAGCAGAGACAAAGCAUGAUGGAGGAAGGGAAGUGUGCUCGGCAGCAUGUGGACCAUGUGUUCAGCAUGUAACUGCGGAGUGUCGCGCCAUGGAAAGGUGUCUGCAACCCCGGGCUCCCUCCUGCACGACUCUUGGCGUUUGCAACAGCAAUGGGCGGAGGAAGAAAACUCGAGUCCGGAGACAGACAACCACAAGAAGCUGAAAUUGCCAAGGUGAAGAUGAUUGACAAGGUGAAGAUGAUUGACAAGGUGGAGAUGAUUGACAAGGUGGAGAUGAUUGACAAGGUGGAGAUGAUUGACAAGGUGGAGAUGAUUGACAUUGGUCAUCCAUUCUUCUACCGGUAAGAUAUUGGUAUUUCUAUCUGUUAUACAGAGCUUCUAGAGGAAUGACGUUUUCCUGUGUGUCCAGGCCCUCCGAUGUAGACCCAAACAUCUUGAUUGCUAAAAACUAUACCUGUUAUAGAUUUUGCUAUUGUCUUCAAAGAGGGAAAAUUCCUGUGGAAGUACUGUACCAGUCUAGCUCUCUCCCUAUACAUUCUGACUAUAGUCAGACACUUUCACUUGGUGACUUUCUGUAUAUAUUUAGUGAAUUAGUUGACAAUUUCUGCAGUUUUGGGUCGAGGAUGUUCAAUGUCUAAUUCAGUCCAAGGGCUGCACUUACAUUCAGAGGAUCCCCUACUCAUUCUCUCAUUAUCUCAAUUCUCUGUGUUCUCAUUCUCUCAUUCUCCCAUUAUUUCAUUAUUUCAUUCU